rnacentral:rRNA from 1 species
UAGGGAAUCUUCGGCAAUGGACGAAAGUCUGACCGAGCAACGCCGCGUGAGUGAAGAAGGUUUUCGGUUCGUAAAACUCUGUUGUUAGAGAAGAACAAGGACGUUAGUAACUGAACGUCCCCUGACGGUAUCUAACCAGAAAGCCACGGCUAACUACGUGCCAGCAGCCGCGGUAAUACGUAGGUGGCAAGCGUUGUCCGGAUUUAUUGGGCGUAAAGCGAGCGCAGGCGGUUUCUUAAGUCUGAUAUGAAAGCCCCCGGCUCAACCGGGGAGGGUCAUUGGAAACUGGGAGACUUGAGUGCAGAAGAGGAGAAUGGAAUUCCAUGUGUAGCGGUGAGAUGCGUAGAUAUAUGGAGGAACACCAGUGGAGAAGGCGGCUCUCUGGUCUGUAACUGACGCUGAGGCAAGAAAGCGUGGGGAGCAAACAGG